AGAGUUUGAUUAUGGCUCAGAACGAACGCUGGUGGCGUGUCUUAUACAUGCAAGUCGAGCGAGGCAGCAAUGCCGAGCGGCGAACGGGUGAGUAACGCGUAAGCAAUCUGCCCCAUAUCAGGAAAUACCCGUGCCAACGCGCGGUUAAUGUCCAGGAGAGUGGCCCUCCGCAUGGAGGGUUGACUAGAGAUUUAUCGGUAUGGGAUGAGCUUGCGUCCGAUUAGCUAGUUGGCGGGGCAACGGCCCACCAAGGCGACGAUCGGUAGCCGGCCUGAGAGGGUGAUCGGCCACAUUGGGACUGAGAUACGGCCCAGACUCCUACGGGAGGCAGCAGUAGGGAAUAUUGCACAAUGGGGGAAACCCUGAUGCAGCAACGCCACGUGUGGGAAGAAGCAUUUCGGUGUGUAAACCACUGUCAUGAGGGAAUAAGGCCCGCCUUCGGACGGGAUUGAAUGUACCUUGAGAGGAAGCACCGGCAAACUUCGUGCCAGCCGCCGC
rnacentral:rRNA from 1 species